UCAAUCGGCGAUAGCACGUUACAUGCACCAGAUCAAAAUCAACGAAGUUAAGCAACGUUGCGCGAGAUUGGUAUCCGGAUGGGUGACCUUCUGGACAAUCGCAUACUGCUUUUC
rnacentral:rRNA from 1 species